UACGGAGGGGGCUAGCGUUGUUCGGAAUUACUGGGCGUAAAGCGCGCGUAGGCGGAUCUGCAAGUCGGGGGUGAAAUCCCGAGGCUCAACCUCGGAACUGCCUUCGAUACUGCGGGUCUCGAGUCCGGGAGAGGUGAGUGGAAUUCCUAGUGUAGAGGUGAAAUUCGUAGAUAUUAGGAAGAACACCAGUGGCGAAGGCGGCUCACUGGCCCGGUACUGACGCUGAGGCGCGAAAGCCAGGGGAGCAAACGGG
rnacentral:rRNA from 1 species